rnacentral:rRNA from 1 species
UACGUAGGGUGCGAGCGUUAAUCGGAAUUACUGGGCGUAAAGCGUGCGCAGGCGGUUUCGUAAGCUUGAUGUGAAAUCCCCGGGCUUAACCUGGGAAUGGCAUUGAGGACUGCGAGGCUGGAGUGUGGCAGAGGAGACUGGAAUUCCUGGUGUAGCAGUGAAAUGCGUAGAUAUCAGGAGGAAUACCGAUGGCGAAGGCAGGUCUCUGGGCUGACACUGACGCUCAUGCACGAAAGCGUGGGGAGCAAACAGG